UACAGAGGUCUCGAGCGUUGUUCGGAUUCAUUGGGCGUAAAGGGUGCGUAGGCGGCGCGGUAAGUCGGGUGUGAAAUCUCGGAGCUUAACUCCGAAACUGCAUUCGAUACUGCUGUGCUUGAGGACUGGAGAGGAGACUGGAAUUUACGGUGUAGCGGUGAAAUGCGUAGAUAUCGUAAGGAAGACCAGUGGCGAAGGCGGGUCUCUGGACAGUUCCUGACGCUGAGGCACGAAGGCCAGGGGAGCAAACGGG
rnacentral:rRNA from 1 species